rnacentral:rRNA from 1 species
UACGAAGGGGGCUAGCGUUGCUCGGAAUCACUGGGCGUAAAGCGCACGUAGGCGGAUUGCUAAGUCAGGGGUGAAAUCCUGGAGCUCAACUCCAGAACUGCCUUUGAUACUGGCGACCUUGAGUCCGGGAGAGGUGAGUGGAACUGCGGGUGUAGAGGUGAAAUUCGUAGAUAUUCGCAAGAACACCAGUGGCGAAGGCGGCUCACUGGCCCGGUACUGACGCUGAGGUGCGAAAGCGUGGGGAGCAAACAGG